GCCUCCGGGCCAAAACCGCUCGCCUCGCCGGGUACAUUCGCCACGCCGACCCAACAUCUCCAGGCCGGGACCACCGCGCUAUUGGACACUCGUAAAGCCUGGGUGCCGCCCUCGGGGCCUUGGAGCGACAGGGAGGGGUCACGGCUCGAAGCUCACCGCGACGCGAGACCUGCCUCCGGCCCUGGCCCUCAUCCUACAAGACUGGUGUGAUCUAGAAGAUUAACCUCGAUGCCCACUACCGGGACACUGCCACGGGAGUGGCGUCGGGUAGGAACAGUGCAGGGGCGCCCUCGAGCGGUCAUGCCUGGGAUGGCGGCUUCUCAGGACCCUGAGCUGGGGCUGAAGGGAAGGCAGGCAAUCAGGGCCAGCCCUGGGACCCUUUGCAGCGGGCCUGGUGCUGCUGGUUGCAUGGUAAGCAACUCAGGAACUUAAAAUGGCGCUAAUCUGGUGGAAACAGAAAAGCAAGAUACAUUUUGGGAGAUUCCACGAGGGUCCCGAAAGGCUGGGGCUAGGGAAAGUUACUUGGCCAGGAUGAAAGGCACUUGGGGAGCGUUGCAUUAGGAAUGUGCAUCAUGGGGGCUGGGGAUUUAGCUCAGCGGCAUAUGCACCUGCCUUGCAAGCAGGCAGUCGUGAGUUCGAUCCCCAGUACUGAUAAAAAGGAAAAAAAAAAAAGAAAAAAGAAAGAAAGAAAAAGGAUGUGCAUCAGGAGCUGGGUCUUGUUAUCCCCAUCUUCCGCAGCUGCGUGUCCAACCUUCUGAGGGAUGUCUGCUGCCCGAGGCUCAGCCGUGCAAGCAGUGCACUCACCUUGGAGGUCUGCUGCCCUGGCUCUCAUAAGCAAGCAGCCCCUGGCCUACCCAAAAGUACUCAAGGCUUCUGGAUCCCACCACACCCAGAAGGAAGAUCACAUGCGCUGCUUCCAGCAUGAUGGCUGUCGUCUCUAAUAGCUGUGUUGAGAUACAACACACACGCUACAAAAUGCACUCCUUUGAAGUAUGUGAUUCAGUAGCCUAGAGAUAUUGCGUUCUUUUUAAAAUUGCGGUAAGAUGCAUGUAUAUAAAUUUUGCCAUUUUAGCCAUUUUUAAGUGCAUAAUCCAAUGACAUCAAGUACAUUUGCAGUGAGCAACCAUCACUCCCAUCCAAUCGCAGGACUCUGCUCAUAGGCAACAACUUUCUGAAAAUUCCUUUUCUCCCCAGAAACCUACCAUCUACUUCUUUUUUGUACAGGGUCUUGAACCCACCCUUCAUUCUGAACCACCCUUGCCCCAUUUAUUUUUUACUUCAAGCCAGGCGCUAAGUUGCUAGGUUGCCCAGGGGCCCUGCUUGAACUGCCUGCAUUGCUCCGGGUGCAAGGGUUACAGGGGUGUGCCACCACACCUACUUCUGAUGUGUUUCUUUGAAUUCUCCUAUUCUACAUGUUUUGUGUAAGCAGAAUUACGCAAUAUAUUUCCUUUGUGGCUGGGUUAUUGUACUCAGCAUGGUGUUUUAAAAAUGUCUGACACACGUUUCCUGUGUGUCAGAAUCUCUCUCCUUUGCUAAGGCUGUUUCAUAUCUGCAUUUGUUUAUUCUUCUUCGGGGAGACAAGUGGGUUGUUCACACCUUUUUGCUCCUAUGAACACUGGGAGAACCAGGAUCCAAGGCACUGAUGGAGGCCAAGGAUUGGAACUGCUGUUGGGCCACUGAAGCCCAGCACUGUGCCAGGAUUUUGGUUCCUCCACGGCUGGGCCAACAUUUUUCUUCUGCCUUCAUUAUUGUUAUGUGGCUUCAAUGUUAAAGCAGUGAUGUUUUCAUUACAAGCAACAUACUUACUGAACUAACAGAUGAGAAAAUCCAGAGAAGUGACCCCAAACUUUGGUAACUUGGGUGAGGUGUACUAGGAAUUGAACACUGGGUCUUUCCACUGAGUUACAUGCCCAGCCCUGUUUUAAUAUUUUAUUUUGAAAAAGGGGUCUUGCUAGCUAAAUCGCCCAGGCUGGACUCAAAUUUUUCAUCGUCCUGCCUCAGCCUACCGCGGUGCUGGAAUGGCAGGCAUGCUCCGUUGCAUCGCCUGAGCCACACACAGGGUUUUGUGUCGUUCCACACCCUCACCCUCACCCCCGUGUACUGAGGCUGGCCUUAAACUCGCUUAUGUAGCCCAGGCUGGCCUCAAACUCAUGGCGAUCCUCCUGCCUCAGCCUUCUGAGUGCUGAGAUAACAGGCAUGCACCUGCUGCCUGACUUACCACACGGUUUUUACAAGCAGGAGCUGGCUGGCUUUUCUAACCUGCAGGCGAGGGGAAAGCAGAGAAGGCAGGGGUCUCCCGGGAUCCUGCAAGGCGCCCAGAGCAGGCAGAGACCACGAGCGUAGGGGUCCCGCGAAGGGGUGUGGGCGCGGCUUUCCCCUUCAGGGUCAGACCCGAGGACCGCAGGGUCACCCAAACAGCUGGAUGCCGGGCACCACAGGGUAGCGAGAUCUGCUUACCCUGAACGGCCGUCCCCUCUUGGUAGAGUGGCUGCAACUACUCGGCGCCCCAGCCCGCCUGGCCUCGGAACUCGCCCCAGCAGCCGUGCGCCGAUUGGCCAAGAACAGGCCGCUCGGACCAAUCACAGGGCGGCAGCAGAAGGCCUGAGGAGAGUGCUGCGCGUGGGGAACCCUGCGCGCUUGCGCACUGGGCCACGAACGCCCCCCUAUGCCAGGGUCGGGAUCCAAGCCACAGAUGCUGUCCCUCCGCGGUGUCCUCGGCUCCGCCCGCCCUCCCUCUCGGCCUUCCUUCCGCCUCCCCCCCUUCCCCGGGUCAGCUUCUGCCCUUGAAGCCCAGGUGAGGCCCGGUCCGCUCUCCAGGGCCCCACCUCUUACCCAGCGGGGGCCGCAGUCCUGACCAGCACCGGAGCUGGAGCGCUUUGUUGGCCGUGAAGCGUCAUUUUGUAAGACACUGAGUGCCUCCGUCCAGGGCAACGCAGACUCCACGAGGCCCUCACCGCCCUGGUACUUGACAUCCACUGCUGCGGUCAACGCGCGACAAAGCACCCAGGUGCGGCCGCACGGUCCCUAUCGCCCACGGGGUGUUCGGCGGAGACCUGCGCCCCAACCCACUCCACAGCUGUAGGCGAGCCUCUGAAGGGAAGAGCGUGGGACAAGGACAGUCAGCUCGGCCUGGGACAGAGCUCAGAAGCCAGGGCGCCUCCGACCCCGCCCCAGCACCAGGACGAUCACCAUGGGGUUGCAAAGGCCAGGGAGCCACCACCCUUCUUUGAAAGGUGCUCAGGCGCCUUGGAUGUCUGAUGUUCAGUGCCUUGGGCAGCCUUAAGGCCAGGGCCCUGUAGGAAGAACGGGCACUGCUCCAUCCUCCAGGAAGGAGAGGGUCACCCCUUCUGUGCCCUGCCAGCUGGGUGGGGAAGUGCCUUGAAGAAGCGCCUCACCCCUUUGAGGACAAAGAACAGAUGCAGGGCCAGCAGAACCACGGCCUCCUCCCAUCCAUCGUGCUCUGUCCCCUCCUGUUUUUUGGGGGCCUCACAGGGCUGUGUGACACCAUCACUGGCCUGGACCUUGCCUGGAAGCCCCCGGACAGGCAAGUUGGAAACUCUAAACCCUGGAAAAUGGGCAGAGGCAGGCAGACCAUGGGGCUGGACUGGUAGACCAAGCGCUGGGCUUGAAUAAACCUCGCUCAUAGCUCUCUGGA